ensembl:lncRNA
CAGUUUGCCUACACUGCAAAACUUCACUUCACGAAAGAAAACAUCAUGGAGAUCCACAGAUGUGCCGAAUUUCUCGGAUUUCAAAACCUGGAUAAAGCCUGCUUUGAAUUCCUCGUCCCAAAGUUUUCUGAUGGUGGUGGAAGCUCGAAAAAAGUGAAGAGUAAAAGCAAGAGCCAAGCGUCCCGUGAGAAAUCACAAGCCGUCUGCAGUCCAAACGACCAAAACCCGGAAACUGAAGAAGAUUGUGUACCUCAAGAUGCAAGCACUGUCAUGCAAGCUGCAUCUAUAACAUCCUCUGCAGAAAGUCCUAAAGAUUGUCCCCCAAUCUCAAAUGACAAAGAAAUGCAGUUAGAUUUGUCCCCACUUUACUCAAGAAGCACUUCAUACCACAUGGGUGAUGGCCAGGAUCAGUUUUGCCUGCAGAGCUGUGGCCCACAGUUGCAUUCGUCUUCCUUGGCGGCUGCUGAAGUUUGUCCUUUCCUGUCUAUUUCGAGCACCGGUGACAAUGAGAAACUGCAUUCUUCUGCAGCUGGCUGUAGUGGGGAGAUUUUAGCAAUGGAGGACGAAUUCCAGAAGGAUAUGCAUUGUGAACCGCCUACUGAUAAAGACCUGGACAUAGCCAGUAUCACCGAGGGCCAUUUUGACCAACGUGAAGGGCCUCUAAUGCCGUCCAACGACUGUACCCAGCUAUGUCCUCUGAAUUCCACGCAGUCAAGCGGGGUUUUGGACGGCAUUUCUGGCUCUCCAGACCUAAGCAACAUUGGCACCGAAGACAACCGGGUGUUUGAUUCCAACGAACAAACAUUCUCGGAACUGACCCCCAAAGAUUGCUCCACAGAACGAAGCAUGGAGGAAAGGGAAGUGGCUGAACAUCUUGCAAAGGGUUUUUGGCCGGAUUUGGCCUCCACGUUAAAUGAGCCACUACCUUUGGACUCUAUUGACCAGUCAUCUGCAGGAAAUGGCUCAGACUUCCACUGGUUAAAGCAUCUGGAUCUGGGAGCUGCGCCUGAUGAUUGUCCCUUCCUGAGAGACCUGAGCUCUAACGAUAGACAGACAUGUGGAGGGGACACUCUGUCCAAAGAGGACACUGGAGAUAGUCCCUACAUGUCCCCCAUUAACUCAAUGGAAAACUCUGAGUGUGAAUCGGAUGGAGACUGCACGCAGUGCGGUAGCAGUGAACAAAUGCAAGAGGUGGAUUUGCC